CCGAGCGGAGCCGGAAUCCCCCGAGCGGAACCGGAACUAGCCGAGCAAGCACGGAAAUGGCCGAAAAAAAUGGAUGCGGCCGAGUUCGGACGGAAAUGCCCGAACGGAUGCAAAGGAGGGGAGGUGGUUCGUGCGCUUGCCUCUCCGCCGGAUUCCCCGAGCGAUGCCGAAGAGAGCCGAAGUGAAGAGGCGUCUAGACGACGAAGGGAUACCCGCGAUACAGCAGUACCGGCUCCCGGCAGUGCGCUUGGUUUUGCUGUAAGAGGUGCUGGGGCUCACAAGCUGACCUGUAAACCGCUUUAUGUCCACUUGAAAGAGCCCUGCUUACAGAUAGGAGUAGCAAGGAAAAGGAACCCGCGGUUCCUCAGCGGAACUGGUUCCUCAGAGUAGCACCCCAAAAAAUAUUGAGCCACUGAUGCUGAAGAGGCCCUCUUUUCUGCUAUGCCUCCUGCAUCCUCCCAUCCCUAUUGCAUCCCCAGUGGCUGGCCAAGAGCCGCCCCCCUCAAAAAAAACUCUGCUCCCUUCCACGUCUUGGCAUUUUGCCCAUCAUCUUGAAGAGCGGAGAUUAGAAAGUUGUCAGCCAUGUAGGCUGUGCUAGAUACAGCAGGAAAGAGAGAGAACAGUGAUUUUGACCCUCAACAUCUCUUCUGUCUUUAGAAAUUGUCUAGUUAACAGCACUGCCCCUCCUCAGACUAAUUAGGGUCAUGGGCUUUUUAAAAAACACAUUUGGGAGAUAUGGGUUGUGGGGGGGUGCUCUUCAAAUGACCUAUUAUAAAUGGAAAAUUACCAUAUUAAGAACAAAGGCCUGCAUAGUUCCCCCAAACUCUAGCAGAACCAAUCAUCAAGGUUUUUAACUCCCACCCAGGUUAUAGGGUGAUGCGGUACUAUUAUCCCAGACUCAAAUUUUGUUUAGGACACCUGCAUCAAAUAAGGAAAGCCAAGUGUAAAUAAGGAACUGGAGAACCAUGUUCAGCCCUGUUAAGUAAAGUGCUACUUCCAAAUUGAACCCCAUUUACAGAUUUGGUGGGGAGAGGAGGGGAGCGAUCUGGUUCUUCAGUGGGGAAGUUGCAAUCAGCCCAUGCUCAGAGGCCAGCUUGUCUUUAUUGUUUAGCACUUAAUAUGUUUUGGCUCUGAAACCUGCUGCAGAAAAUAUACUUUUUCCUCCAGGUGCCUGUUUGUUAUUGCAUCAUUAUGUAAGAAGCAACCUGAGACCAAAGGCCCAAGUUGGCAUCCCAUUGCAUAGGCUGGCGACAGAUGGUCUGUUUGCAUGAUCACAGAGAUAUGUGAGCCAACAUUGUUUUCCUGCAAGUUCUGUGAGCACGGUUUUCCUGCAAGUUCUGUGAGUACAUUUUAGCGAUUCCAUAAGGUAAGCCCUGCUGUCCUGUCUUGUUUUGACACAGGGAGCAUUCAGCUGUCCCCAGAAAGUCCAGAGGCAAAACAUGAAGGCUGUUCAUGGAACAGUGAACUUGUCCAAUUUGGAAGCCAUUUAAAAUACUGGCCAUCACUGCAUUUUGUGGCUGUCAUUUGCACAAAGUAAUUAUGCAAUAUCUAUGAAUGCUGAUUCUUAUGUAGCUCGACCAGAGCCACCCGUGCACAAGAGAGAAGUCCCAGCAGGCUUGCCGUAACCCUGAGGUUUUCAGUGAAAAAACAACAACACUUGUGGGUUAAAAAGAAACUCUAAUGGAGGAAAUUCCAAAAAUACCUGGACUGCUAUGGGAUGCUAAUUCAGUGGCUAUGGAAUGCCAAUUCUUGGGGAAGAAAACAGGAUAAAAGGGAAUGGAAUAGAGUAUCCUGGAGGAGAGCAUGGCUGAGGAUGGUGUCCAGCAGAAGAGCUCCAUUGUGAAAUGUUUGUUGUAGGAACCAUUUUUCUCUCUAAAAGGCGAGGAAUGGGGUUCCAGAAUGUACAUAGCUCAUUCUAGUUAUAUUCUAGUUGCUGCUGUGACUGUUCCCCUCCCCCCUCCCCUUGUAGCCCCCAAAUUGCAGUACCGUGGAUGG